CCCUUAGAUGUUCUGGGCCGCACGCGCGCUACAAUGAUGAAUUCAACGAGUUUAUAACCUUGGUUGAAAAGCCUGGGUAAUCUUUUGAACUUUCGUCGUGAUGGGGCUAGACCCUUGCAAUUAUUGGUCUCCAACGAGGAAUUCCUAGUAAACGCAAGCCAUCAGCUUGCAUUGAUUACGUCCCUGCCCUUUGUACACACCGCCCGUCGCACCUACCGAUUGAAUGGUCCGGUGAAAUCUUCGGAUUGAGACUUUGAUUUGUUUACUCAAAACGCUGUUUCAAGAAGUUGAUUAAACCUUACCAUUUAGAGGAAGGUGAAGUCGUAACA
rnacentral:rRNA from 1 species